rnacentral:lncRNA from 1 species
UUGUUGUCAUAGAAAAAGAAUUAGAUAGAUAGUCACAUUCUAGAAAGAGCAAAGUCAUAAAUACUUCUGUGCUCAAGCUCUCUCAUUAUUCUUGUCUUAGGAGAUGGAUGUCAAGUCAAUCUUUCACAAAUCUCAUUUCAGGUGCCAAGUUUCUUUCAAAGACUCCAAAGGAAAAGAUUUACUUGCAGAUGCUCGGAGAAUACCGUCUCAAGCCCAGGGCGAUGCAUUAUCUAUAGAAGAGCAGCAUAAAGCCAUGAUGUUGAGGACUGUGAAGAGAAAGCCAAGGCAUACAUACAGUAUGCCCACCCUGUCAGCUGUGGUACAGAAGGAGAUGAAGAAUGCUGAAAAUUAUGAGUCAUUGCUUUCAAGUAUUCAGAGGCCAAAAUAGGACAAAGAAUUUUUAAAAUAUAAUUAUAUAAAGAAGAAAAAGAAGCCAAAAUUAUGCCUCUCUGCAUUUCAGUUUUGAAUGUGUGGAGAUCAGAAAGAAAAAAAAAUCUGUUUGUUUCACUUCUUAAAGUUAGGGUAAAGACCUAUAAGAGAUGAUUCUGGUUAGUGAGUUAUCCUCAAGAUGAAUUUACUCAAAGAGGAAAGCAACUCAAGAUACAGUAUAAGCAAACAACUAAUAAAUGUUCCUAUAAAUAAGAUUAAGUAAGGAAG